CUCAUCACUCAUCUUAUAUGUACAUCGUCUUCACUAGUGAAAGUCCUAACAACACAAGAUGGUCUCCUCUCUGGAAAAGUUUAUUUUUCAACGAUGUUGAUUACCAAUGGAAGAAGAUGAAUCUGGGUUAUUUGAGCAAUACUGCAAUAGAAAUAUUUAAAUAUGAAAAUGUUUCUAUAGCAAACUCUGUAAUAUAUUUUAAAUUAAGACUAGUUUUUACCAAUAGUAAUUAUAUUGAUACUGACUGGAAGAGACUUAUACUUAAUGAUCAUGAUGUAGUUUCAAUAAAAAAUUGUUUUAAUCAUGUUCCUACCUUUUUAGCAAUGUUUGGAAUUGUUUGUACAUGUUGGAUCGUUUUUAUGAUGUUCAUAGCGUUAGGUUUGGCUUAAAAACUGCAAUUAAAAAUUUAUUUAGGUGUAUGACUUUGUUAGUUUAAGUAUGUAGUUUGUUUUAUGUCUAAUAAAAAAUAAUAUUCAUUCUGAUUAUUUUUGUUAUCAUAUUUCCUGUCUAACGUUUUUUUCCUUAAAAACGUUAAAUUUUUAUCAGUUAUAUUUUGAAUUUUUUGAAUUUUUACGUAAGGAACCACAAUAUCCGGUUGCAAAGUUUAUGGAAUAUAAAAUCAUAUCGCAUCAAUGAUUAAUUCAUUUCUACUUCGACUGUCCGUGUAUGAAAGUAAUCAUGUUCAAGUGCUCUCAAUGCGAUAACAAGUUUACUCGCAAAGAUGCUUUAACACGUCAUGUAAAAAAACAUAGUGAUAAAUUAUCUAAACUCACUUGCACCGGAUGUAAAACGUCAUUUACGAGAUUUGAUAACUAUAGGCGUCAUAUUACAAAUUCAUCAUUGUGUUCAAUGGAUUCGGAUGAUAUGACUCCUAAAAAAGCCCGCCUGACAACUAGAACACCUUUACAAGAAGUUACUACUAACGCUCCAUCAUGUUCAUUUCAUCAAUUUUGUGAAAUAUGCAAUAGUCACUACAGAGGAUCCAGAUUAAACCAUUUACGUUCUUUAAAACAUAAAAGUGUCAUCUCCGCCAAAAUUAAUGAUGAUGAUGAUUUCGUUGAAGAAUAUCAAGUUGCCUUCAAAUCAAGAAUUACCUCAUACCGAUUGAAAAAUUCACAACUAGAUGACUUGGAAGUGUGCAAUUUUUUUGAAAGAAAUCAAGAUAAACUUAUCACUUUAAUAACUAGAAAACUGAGAGAAUUUAACCAACUUAAAAUUAAUUUCGAACUUUUUGCUAAAUAUAUUUUACCUUCUAAAGACAUUAUCGAAAUCAAAUCAUUCAACACUAAAAAUAUCAUCAUUUCAAUAUCGACAAAUAUUAAGGUAGAACUGGAAGAAAUAUGUGGCGUCAUAAAAAACAAAAUGAGUGAAUUCUUGGAAAAAGAUAGUGGUUGGAUUUUAAUGGAAAUUUUGUUUUUGGAACUUAAUAUCAACAAAUUCAAUCCACUACGUGCAUCAACAUAUAUACCAUUACCGAAGGACAUAGCGAAGCGGAGAGCGGUUAUCAAUAUUCAUAAUGAUGAUAAUGAAUGUUUCAAAUGGUCUGUUUUGGCACACCUUCAUUCAACUGAAGUUUCCAAAAUAGACAGCACUAUCCACUCUACCUACCUGAGGUUCGACUCCCCAUGGAAGGAACAACAACAACAACAACUUUUUUUGCAUUAUAUUUUAAACAAAUAACAAAAUAAACUUGGUGCGCAACAGACAAGUUAGGCAAACAACAUUACAAAAAUAAAAAACUACAUAUA